rnacentral:rRNA from 1 species
UCACGGUCGAGCUCGCUCGUAAUGCAUUAGCAUCCGCAAUCGAACUUCGGAUUGACUUGGCGUAAUAGACUAUUCGCUGAGGAAUUCUAGUCUUCGGACUAGAGCCGGGUUGGAUUAAAGGAAGCUCCUAAUCCUAAUGUCUAUUUUUAAGAUUAGAUCUCAAAUCAGGUAGGACUACCCGCUGAACUUAAGCAUAUCAAUAAGCGGAGGAAAAGAAACUAACAAGGAUUCCCCUAGUAGCGGCGAGCGAAGCGGGAAGAGCUCAAAUUUAUAAUCUGGCACCUUCGGUGUCCGAGUUGUAAUCUCUAGAAGUGUUUUCCGCGUUGGACCGCACACAAGUCUGUUGGAAUACAGCGGCAUAGUGGUGAGACCCCCGUAUAUGGUGCGGACGCCCAACGCUUUGUGAUACACUUUCGAAGAGUCGAGUUGUUUGGGAAUGCAGCUCAAAUUGGGUGGUAAAUUCCAUCUAAAGCUAAAUAUUGGCGAGAGACCGAUAGCGAACAAGUACCGUGAGGGAAAGAUGAAAAGCACUUUGGAAAGAGAGUUAACAGUACGUGAAAUUGUUGGAAGGGAAACGCUUGAAGUCAGACUUGCUUGCCGAGCAAUCGGUUUGCAGGCCAGCAUCAGUUUUCCGGGGUGGAUAAUGGUAGAGAGAAGGUAGCAGUUUCGGCUGUGUUAUAGCUCUUUGCUGGAUACACCUUGGGGGACUGAGGAACGCAGUGUGCCUUACGGCGGAUUUCUCGAGA